rnacentral:rRNA from 1 species
UACGUAGGGUGCGAGCGUUGUCCGGAAUUACUGGGCGUAAAGAGCUCGUAGGUGGUUUGUCGCGUUGUUCGUGAAAACUCACAGCUUAACUGUGGGCGUGCGGGCGAUACGGGCAGACUGGAGUACUGCAGGGGAGACUGGAAUUCCUGGUGUAGCGGUGGAAUGCGCAGAUAUCAGGAGGAACACCGGUGGCGAAGGCGGUUCUCUGGGCCUGUACUGACGCUGGAGGAGCGAAAGCGUGGGGAGCGAACAGG